rnacentral:rRNA from 1 species
UACGUAGGUGGCAAGCGUUGUCCGGAUUUACUGGGCGUAAAGGACGCGUAGGCGGACAUUUAAGUCAGAUGUGAAAUACCCGAGCUUAACUUGGGUGCUGCAUUUGAAACUGGGUGUCUAGAGUGCAGGAGAGGUAAGUGGAAUUCCUAGUGUAGCGGUGAAAUGCGUAGAGAUUAGGAAGAACACUAGUGGCGAAGGCGACUUACUGGACUGUAACUGACGCUGAGGCAUGAAAGCGUGGGGAGCAAACAGG